UUAAGCGACUAAGCGUACACGGUGGAUGCCCUGGCAGUCAGAGGCGAUGAAGGACGUGCUAAUCUGCGAUAAGCGUCGGUAAGGUGAUAUGAACCGUUAUAACCGGCGAUUUCCGAAUGGGGAAACCCAGUGUGAUUCGUCACACUAUCAUUAACUGAAUCCAUAGGUUAAUGAGGCGAACCGGGGGAACUGAAACAUCUAAGUACCCCGAGGAAAAGAAAUCAACCGAGAUUCCCCCAGUAGCGGCGAGCGAACGGGGAGCAGCCCAGAGCCUGAAUCAGUGUGUGUGUUAGUGGAAGCGUCUGGAAAGGCGCGCGAUACAGGGUGACAGCCCCGUACACAAAAAUGCACAUGCUGUGAGCUCGAUGAGUAGGGCGGGACACGUGGUAUCCUGUCUGAAUAUGGGGGGACCAUCCUCCAAGGCUAAAUACUCCUGACUGACCGAUAGUGAACCAGUACCGUGAGGGAAAGGCGAAAAGAACCCCGGCGAGGGGAGUGAAAAAGAACCUGAAACCGUGUACGUACAAGCAGUGGGAGCCUCUUUAUGGGGUGACUGCGUACCUUUUGUAUAAUGGGUCAGCGACUUAUAUUCUGUAGCAAGGUUAACCGAAUAGGGGAGCCGAAGGGAAACCGNACGCUUAGGCGUGUGACUGCGUACCUUUUGUAUAAUGGGUCAGCGACUUAUAUUCUGUAGCAAGGUUAACCGAAUAGGGGAGCCGAAGGGAAACCGAGUCUUAACUGGGCGUUAAGUUGCAGGGUAUAGACCCGAAACCCGGUGAUCUAGCCAUGGGCAGGUUGAAGGUUGGGUAACACUAACUGGAGGACCGAACCGACUAAUGUUGAAAAAUUAGCGGAUGACUUGUGGCUGGGGGUGAAAGGCCAAUCAAACCGGGAGAUAGCUGGUUCUCCCCGAAAGCUAUUUAGGUAGCGCCUCGUGAAUUCAUCUCCGGGGGUAGAGCACUGUUUCGGCAAGGGGGUCAUCCCGACUUACCAACCCGAUGCAAACUGCGAAUACCGGAGAAUGUUAUCACGGGAGACACACGGCGGGUGCUAACGUCCGUCGUGAAGAGGGAAACAACCCAGACCGCCAGCUAAGGUCCCAAAGUCAUGGUUAAGUGGGAAACGAUGUGGGAAGGCCCAGACAGCCAGGAUGUUGGCUUAGAAGCAGCCAUCAUUUAAAGAAAGCGUAAUAGCUCACUGGUCGAGUCGGCCUGCGCGGAAGAUGUAACGGGGCUAAACCAUGCACCGAAGCUGCGGCAGCGACGCUUAUGCGUUGUUGGGUAGGGGAGCGUUCUGUAAGCCUGUGAAGGUGUGCUGUGAGGCAUGCUGGAGGUAUCAGAAGUGCGAAUGCUGACAUAAGUAACGAUAAAGCGGGUGAAAAGCCCGCUCGCCGGAAGACCAAGGGUUCCUGUCCAACGUUAAUCGGGGCAGGGUGAGUCGACCCCUAAGGCGAGGCCGAAAGGCGUAGUCGAUGGGAAACAGGUUAAUAUUCCUGUACUUGGUGUUACUGCGAAGGGGGGACGGAGAAGGCUAUGUUGGCCGGGCGACGGUUGUCCCGGUUUAAGCGUGUAGGCUGGUUUUCCAGGCAAAUCCGGAAAAUCAAGGCUGAGGCGUGAUGACGAGGCACUACGGUGCUGAAGCAACAAAUGCCCUGCUUCCAGGAAAAGCCUCUAAGCAUCAGGUAACAUCAAAUCGUACCCCAAACCGACACAGGUGGUCAGGUAGAGAAUACCAAGGCGCUUGAGAGAACUCGGGUGAAGGAACUAGGCAAAAUGGUGCCGUAACUUCGGGAGAAGGCACGCUGAUAUGUAGGUGAAGUCCCUCGCGGAUGGAGCUGAAAUCAGUCGAAGAUACCAGCUGGCUGCAACUGUUUAUUAAAAACACAGCACUGUGCAAACACGAAAGUGGACGUAUACGGUGUGACGCCUGCCCGGUGCCGGAAGGUUAAUUGAUGGGGUCAGCGCAAGCGAAGCUCUUGAUCGAAGCCCCGGUAAACGGCGGCCGUAACUAUAACGGUCCUAAGGUAGCGAAAUUCCUUGUCGGGUAAGUUCCGACCUGCACGAAUGGCGUAAUGAUGGCCAGGCUGUCUCCACCCGAGACUCAGUGAAAUUGAACUCGCUGUGAAGAUGCAGUGUACCCGCGGCAAGACGGAAAGACCCCGUGAACCUUUACUAUAGCUUGACACUGAACAUUGAGCCUUGAUGUGUAGGAUAGGUGGGAGGCUUAGAAGUGUGGACGCCAGUCUGCAUGGAGCCGACCUUGAAAUACCACCCUUUAAUGUUUGAUGUUCUAACGUUGACCCGUAAUCCGGGUUGCGGACAGUGUCUGGUGGGUAGUUUGACUGGGGCGGUCUCCUCCUAAAGAGUAACGGAGGAGCACGAAGGUUGGCUAAUCCUGGUCGGACAUCAGGAGGUUAGUGCAAUGGCAUAAGCCAGCUUGACUGCGAGCGUGACGGCGCGAGCAGGUGCGAAAGCAGGUCAUAGUGAUCCGGUGGUUCUGAAUGGAAGGGCCAUCGCUCAACGGAUAAAAGGUACUCCGGGGAUAACAGGCUGAUACCGCCCAAGAGUUCAUAUCGACGGCGGUGUUUGGCACCUCGAUGUCGGCUCAUCACAUCCUGGGGCUGAAGUAGGUCCCAAGGGUAUGGCUGUUCGCCAUUUAAAGUGGUACGCGAGCUGGGUUUAGAACGUCGUGAGACAGUUCGGUCCCUAUCUGCCGUGGGCGCUGGAGAACUGAGGGGGGCUGCUCCUAGUACGAGAGGACCGGAGUGGACGCAUCACUGGUGUUCGGGUUGUCAUGCCAAUGGCACUGCCCGGUAGCUAAAUGCGGAAGAGAUAAGUGCUGAAAGCAUCUAAGCACGAAACUUGCCCCGAGAUGAGUUCUCCCUGAC
rnacentral:rRNA from 1 species